rnacentral:rRNA from 1 species
UACGUAGGGUGCGAGCGUUGCCCGGAUUUAUUGGGCGUAAAGGGCGCGUAGGCGGCCACGCACGUCCGUUGUGAAAUCGCCCGGCUCAACUGGGCGGGGUCAGCGGAUACGGUGUGGCUCGAGCAAGCUAGGGGGCAAUGGAAUUCCCGGUGUAGUGGUGGAAUGCGUAGAUAUCUGGAAGAACACCAAAGGCGAAGGCAGUGUCCUGGGUGGUCGCUGACGCUGAGAGGCGAAAGCCAGGGGAGCGAACGGG